CGGCGGACGGGUGAGUAAUGUCUGGGAAACUGCCUGAUGGAGGGGGAUAACUACUGGAAACGGUAGCUAAUACCGCAUAACGUCGCAAGACCAAAGUGGGGGACCUUCGGGCCUCAUGCCAUCAGAUGUGCCCAGAUGGGAUUAGCUGGUAGGUGGGGUAACGGCUCACCUAGGCGACGAUCCCUAGCUGGUCUGAGAGGAUGACCAGCCACACUGGAACUGAGACACGGUCCAGACUCCUACGGGAGGCAGCAGUGGGGAAUAUUGCACAAUGGGCGCAAGCCUGAUGCAGCCAUGCCGCGUGUGUGAAGAAGGCCUUCGGGUUGUAAAGCACUUUCAGCGGGGAGGAAGGCGGUGAGGUUAAUAACCUCACCGAUUGACGUUACCCGCAGAAGAAGCACCGGCUAACUCCGUGCCAGCAGCCGCGGUAAUACGGAGGGUGCAAGCGUUAAUCGGAAUUACUGGGCGUAAAGCGCACGCAGGCGGUCUGUCAAGUCGGAUGUGAAAUCCCCGGGCUCAACCUCGGAACUGCAUUCGAAACUGGCAGGCUAGAGUCUUGUAGAGGGGGGUAGAAUUCCAGGUGUAGCGGUGAAAUGCGUAGAGAUCUGGAGGAAUACCGGUGGCGAACGCGCCCCCUGGACAAAGACUGACGCUCAAGGUGCGAAAGCGUGGGGAGCAAA
rnacentral:rRNA from 1 species